rnacentral:rRNA from 1 species
GAGGAAUAUUGGUCAAUGGGCGCGAGCCUGAACCAGCCAAGUAGCGUGCAGGAUGACGGCCCUAUGGGUUGUAAACUGCUUUUGUAUGGGGAUAAAGUCAAUCACGUGUGAUUGUUUGCAGGUACCAUACGAAUAAGGACCGGCUAAUUCCGUGCCAGCAGCCGCGGUAAUACGGAAGGUCCGGGCGUUACCCGGAUUUAUUGGGUUUAAAGGGAGCGUAGGCCGGAGAUUAAGUGUGUUGUGAAAUGUAGACGCUCAACGUCUGACUUGCAGCGCAUACUGGUUUCCUUGAGUACGCACAACGUUGGCGGAAUUCGUCGUGUAGCGGUGAAAUGCUUAGAUAUGACGAAGAACUCCGAUUGCGAAGGCAGCUGACGGGAGCGCAACUGACGCUUAAGCUCGAAGGUGCGGGUAUCGAACAGGAUUAGAUACCCUGGUAGUCCGCACAGUAAACGAUGGAUGCCCGCUGUUGGUACCUGGUAUCAGCGGCUAAGCGAAAGCAUUAAGCAUCCCACCUGGGGAGUACGCCGGCAACGGUG